UACGUGGGCUGCUGAAGAGUGCAGAUACCACAAGUACAACUUGACACCAUUGAGCCCACGGUGCUUGUCAAUAAGCUGUGAAUUAGGUGUAGAGACUGUCACCAUAGAUCAUAACAGUUUCUGAAGGACUCAUUACAGCAUAGCGUGUCAGUGAUCUCCAAAUUAAGGGAGGGGGGGUGAGAGAGGAAGAAGGAGUGGGGGCCGCCAACAAAAAUCCAAGAAGGGUGGGAGGAGAGAUAAAAGUCAGAGCCCCAGCUAAGAAGAAGGCUUUAAAGAUUAUCAGGCCAGCGAUCUAAGAAUUCUGUAAGGAUGGGUUUGGAAGCCCAAUUCUGAGCCUGGGCUGGGAGGGAUGCUGAGGCCAAGCAGAAGUGGGCCUCAGGGAAAGCUGACGUUCUCAGACAUUGCCUUUGAGGUUAGAAGAGCUUUUGGAAGCGACCUCCUGAUGUCAGCAGAAGGCCUGAAGGAUGCCAGCCCGCCCAGAAAUGGGAGCAUACCGAUUCACAGCUCUUUAGCACGAACCACAGUAGCCUUGGCUUCCUUUAGGUCUGGUGGUGAUUGUGGGUGACUUUCACCACGCAGGUUUGCUUUGGCUUCUUGUCAUGCUACAGGUGGAAAGCUUUCCUCUGUUCCCUGAAAGCAAAAAGAAAAAAAAAAGAAAAGCAGUCCAGUGCAGUGAAGCAAAUCUCCCCCUUCCUUCGGCCUGCUCUUAGGCAUCCCUAAGACCCUUGCCUUCCGAGGCUUAUCACUUUCUGUUGUCCCGUCGCCACCGGGUAGAGGUUCCGGCAAGGAAGCUUUUGAGUGACACAAAGCAGAAAGUUAUGUGAGGUCACGGAGGAAAGACAGAGCUCGAGGCUAAGUGUUCUAGCUCCUUGGACUUUGCUGCAGCAGUCACAUGUCACCGGCCUGCAUUGCUGUCACUUAAUAUGGGUCAGAAAAACCUCAAGGAAGGGCUUGGGUUUGUUUUUAGAUGGCACAAUUAAAUAAAGUAAUUGCAGCUAGAAAAAUUUUAAAGAAACAUCUUUUUCUUGAAAUUACGGGAAACAAUCAGGGCCAUCGGACAAAAGAGGACAUGUGUAUGCCUUUGGUAGGAUGAAUUGCCUAAAAUAUUUGGCUGUCAAGUAAGUGUAUACAUAGACUUCCAAGCGUUGAUUUGGAGGUGCAAAAGGACUAAUGUCUCUCUGGAGUGUUUGGACUCUCUGGUGAUCCCCCACCCCCCCACACACACACCCCUGAUUUUUAGAAUCAGAAGUGCAAUUGAAGACCAACAGUAGCUGCUCUUCCUGCCUCCGGUUUGUCUUUAACAGGGGAAUUUCUGUCUUUAAAGCAAUUAGAUCAUCUAAAGGGCAAACUACAUUUCCCCUGGACAGCAACAGCAGUGGUAGAAACAGAAUCUCAGGGUUGAUAAUUCAUGAAAUGGAAAUGAAAAAUAGUGAAGUGUGAAUCCUUUGCCCAGAAAAAAAAAAUUAAUGAUCUGGAAUAUCUGAAAGAUCUAAGAAUACAUGAACCAUUGUAAGUCAUGUGAUUUUUUUUUACAUACAGCCCAGAAGACUCAAAAAGGCAGUUUUAAUAUAUAUAUGUAUAUAUUUAAAAGCAAGAGGGAAAUAUGUUAAGUUUCUAACUGCCAAACUCUUUUUUUUUUAAUGCAUUUACUUCAUCAGUGAGAGGUGGAAUGAAUUGAGCACAAUGGUCACUGGGCAGACCACCCUGCAUUCCGCAGGUUUCAAGGGUCCUUGCAGCUCUUGAGGGAAAUUAUUUGGUAAAAUUGGGUCUAGGCUUCAACAGCCCCUUGUCCAUUUGUUUCAUAUAAUACCACUUCUGAAAAUUAAAGGCAAGAUCCUGGAGAGACACAAGGAGAAAAAAAUAUGAUUGAGCAAUUUUAAAUUAGCAGUGUACCUUGUAUCCAUAUGGUAAACAAAAAGGGGUAGAAGUCUGUGGUUGCUCUUUGUAGCAUCUUGAAACAUGGAUUAUGGACCCUGUCAGUCAUCUCUCACACUUACCAAGUUUAACACUGACCAUGGGAAGAAAACGGGAUAAGUAAGGCACCAAUGAAAGAACAGCCAUUUUCCUCAGUUAUACUAGGAAAAUGAAGGUGCCCCUACAGUCUGGUCAAUGAAGGGAACUUAGGUCAGAGGAAACCUCACAGCGAAGGGAUUCAUUUUCUAAUUCCUACCUUAACUUUCCGUAUCCUCAUUUCUCUAGCACGUUUCUUGUUGAUUAUUUUUGGAAGGUAUGUGAUUUUUUAUGUACUUAUUUAUUUGGAAAAUAAAUCUUCCAAAUGCAUUUCCCUGUCGUCAUCUGUGUUUCCUAACUCUUAAAGCUCUGGUCCCUCUGAAGGCUCAGCAGUUUCCCCACCUGCCAUGUGGAUUGACCCAGCAUUUUUUGUGACUCAGAGGGCAGAAGGAAGCAUAAAUUCUCUGUUUUCCUAUAGUAUUGGGGCAUAGACAAACAGAACCUCAUCAGAUGCAUGGGCCAUUCCCUAAGCCUCUUAAUAGUCUCUGCUUUUAAAAUCAUGAACUUUUCUAUAGUUUUUGUAUUUCAGGGGUUUUUGUUGUUGUUGUUGUUGUUGUUGUUGAUUUGCCUCUUGAAUGCCUGGCUCCAAUGUAAUGUUUCUCGCUGCAGAAGGAUUCCUGCUAUGGUUGUGGUCAGAAGAGAUGCUCAGAAGGUUAGCUAGCAUAAAGAGGAACUUAAAGGGGGUGGGGGGAGCACUUCGUUUGGUUAAAGCUGGUUCCCAAUAUAUUUAACCAGUUCCAGAAUUAGAAAGCCUUUCUGUACAUUUUCUCUUAUUUUUCUUGCUACUUUUCCUUAUGUAAUGAAAUUAAAACUUUUGGAACCC
rnacentral:lncRNA from 1 species